rnacentral:rRNA from 1 species
GUCUAUGGCCAUGCCACCCUGAACAAGUUCGGUCCCAUCUGAUCUCAGAAGCUAAGCAGAGUCGGACCUGGUUAGUACUUGGAUGGGAGACCACCUAGGAAGACCAGGUGCUGUAGGCA